CAGGGUAUAGCGCAGUUUGGUAGCGUAUCUGUUUUGGGUACAGAAGGUCGUAGGUUCAAAUCCUGCUACCCUGA
rfam:Bathycoccus prasinos genomic : Mitochondrion.